UUGUAUUACACAAGUGCACCAGCAAGAUAAAACUUAGGGCACACAUUCAUAGUAAAUAUUUAAUAACAUCACUCAAGCACAAACAUGAUUAACUAGUCUGUUCAAUUUCCAUUUGUGAAACAUUCCGUUAUCUCAAUUUUGUUGACAUCAAGGUAAACUAGAAAUGUGUCCAUAGGACACGGGUGCCCCCACUGCGCCACUGUUCUGUCAAUCUUUUUACUAAGUCAAGGGAAAUAACUCUACAAAUACUGGAUAAAUCCACAAGCGAAACCCCAGGUGCAAAUCUAAAAUAUGCUGAGCAACCUGCCCAUAAGGUUUAAAGACUAUGUCAAAUCCUUUUUGAGAAACUUGCGACUUAAGUUGAAAAUUGCAAAAAUUUUCUAAGUGAAGGGCAAUAACUCUAAAAAUACUAAAUAAAUCCAGACGAAAAUACCUGGUACACAACUACACAUGCUGAUCAAUAUUCCUGUAAAGUUACAUGACUCUAGAUCAAAUACUUUUCGAGUUACGUGCGACACAUGUUGAAAAUUGCAAAAUUUUACUAACUCAAGGGCAAUAACUCUGAAAAUACUAAAAAUGUCCAGACGAAAAUACCCAGGUGCACAACUACACAUGCUGAUCAACAUUCCUGUAAAGUUUCAUGACUCUAGGUCAAAUACUUUUUGAGUUAUGUGCGACACAAGUUGAAAAUUGCCAAAUUUUACUAACUCAAGGGCAAUAAUUCUGAAAAUACUAAGAAAAUACACACUAAAAUACCCAGGUGCACAACUACACAUGCUGAUCAACAUUCCUGUAAAGUUUCAUGACUCUAGGUCAAAUACUUUUUGAGUUACGUGCGACACAAUUGAAAAUUGCAAAAUUUUACUAAGUCAAGGGCAAUAACU